CUUGCAGUUCUGAACAGGUGGCAAAUUCAGAAAGUCCUUUCCAUGGGGUGUCGCUUGGCUCACUCAGUCUCUUAUCAGUCCCUCCUGCAUUGGAAAAUGCCAUGUCCUGGGCCCUGGUGGGACACAGGGGUGAGCUCCUGGUGUUUUCUGGGUUUCCAGUCCAGAGCAGGUUUGAACAGUUCCAAGAAAAAGAAAAAACACAGUCCAGGGAAUUUCUCUGCCUCAGCUACCUAAAAAAACCCUAACUAGAAAGCAAAGGAGACUUCUCUCCCGCUGUCUGCCCAUGCUGCAGACAAUACAGUCUGUGAGAAGGAAAAAUGCUGGAGAGCAAGUGCAGUUUCUGAAAACAAACUGCACAUUUCUUCUUCCCAUCUUUGCUCUCAGAACCAGUCUCAAAGGUAAAGAACAUAAUAUCCAGCAUAAACAGAACAGAUGACUGGGGAUAAAAGCAUCAUAAAGUCACCCCAGGACAGUCUUAUGAGAACUCUGUAAUCUGGAACCUAUCUUGCCUGUUGCCCACAUGGUGUUUUUGGGAGCUUGAAGUCUGCCAGAGAUUUACACGAACCUGUCCUUCCAUUACCAGGCCUCCCACAGAGCCAGGCCAGGAAGACGGAUCAUCCCACCAGUCCUGGUCUUACAAGAGACGAAGACCUGAGAGAUGGCUUUGGAAAGAUCCGUGCUGCAUUGUGCAAGUUGGCUCAGGAGAACUCAGAGCAGAAGGAUGUGGAGGUUUUUGAGGAAGAGAUGAAGAAAAGGACACAAAGGAAAACAUCCUUGCAGCUGCCUCCACUGUCAGGUGACCCCAGGGAUGCAGCAGAAGGAAGUAUGUGUCUACACUUGUGGUCCUUUUUGACCAUUUGCUUGCCCUUUGCACAAUGCUGCAAUCAGACUGGGGGGCUGUGCUGCUUGCAUCUGAGUGGAAGACCGAAGAGGAGUUAGUUCUGUUCCCCAAAGAAAUAUACAGAGGCCCAUGGCCGCACUAAGUCAAUAACAGAAUAUCAGCUUCCCACCUUUACCUCCUAAGUUUUUCAGAGCAGAAAACUUUGUCUUGCAAAGUUGAAUGGGUCUUCAGACUCUCUCCUGGAGAGCAGCCUCCAGGGAAGGGGAGUCCAGAAGAAUGCUUCUCAGCCAUGGUGGAACUGGGAAGAAACAAAAUUCAACUGCUUCUAAUGAAAACACCAGAGAUCCUUCUCCUGCCACAGCCUGCUGAGGAGCUGGCACUGUAGAGCUGUGCUGAAGCCCCGAGCCAGUGCUUCUGUUGUAGCCCCAGGAGCAAGCAGUGUUCCUGACUGAAUCCUGGCUGAGGGGCUCUGACUGCAGUGCUGUGUGCGCUGCCCCCAGGGUGGCAGCAGGGACCUUAGGAGGCAGCACUCAGCCCGAGGGCAUCACUCAAGGCUAUCUGCACUUUCAUUUGGUAACUUCCCCAGCCAGACUCUGAAACAGGAAAACAAAAGCAAAGCAAUACUGGGUUUUUCCUUCUUUCUUAGGGAAAGCAUCACUGCAAUUUGGUUUUAAACUAGAAGAGGGUAGAUUCCGAUUAGAUUCUAGGGGGAAUGUUUUUAUAAUGAAGGGGAUGAAGCACUGGAAGGGUUUGCUCACAGAAGCUGCUGUUGAUCCAUUCUUGAAGGUGUUCAAAUCCAAUUUACAUGGGGCUCUGAGCAAUCUCAUCUAGAUGAAGAUUUCCCUGCUCACAGGGGUCAGACUAGAUGGUGCUUACAGGUGCCUUCCAAGCCAAACUCUUCUAGGAUUCUGUGAUUCUGUGAUCACAGUCCCAUGUUAGCAUGCCACUAUUAUACUUGAAGUUCUUUGGGAUAACAAAGAGAUGUUACCCAAGUCCAGCAAGUUUUCUGGCCCUUUCCAUCAUCACCCUGUUCAGCAGCCUCCACUUACAGGCUGCUCUAUGGUCUCCCCACAGGCUUUAGCCUACCGCCUGUCAAUG
rnacentral:lncRNA from 1 species